CAGGAUGAACGCUGGCGGCGUGCUUAACACAUGCAAGUCGAACGAAGCACCUCUCCCGAAGAUUGACACAGCUUGCUGUAGAUUGAUUCAUUUGAGGUGACUGAGUGGCGGACGGGUGAGUAACGCGUGGGUAACCUGCCUCAUAGAGGGGGACAACAGUUGGAAACGACUGCUAAUACCGCAUAGUAAGAAGAAUUCGCAUGUUUUCUUCUUGAAAGAUUUAUCGCUAUGAGAUGGACCCGCGUCUGAUUAGCUAGUUGGUAAGGUAACGGCUUACCAAGGCGACGAUCAGUAGCCGGCUUGAGAGAGUGAACGGCCACAUUGGGACUGAGACACGGCCCAAACUCCUACGGGAGGCAGCAGUGGGGAAUCUUGCGCAAUGGGGGGAACCCUGACGCAGCGACGCCGCGUGCGGGACGGAGGCCUUCGGGUCGUAAACCGCUUUCAGCAGGGAAGAGUCAAGACUGUACCUGCAGAAGAAGCCCCGGCUAACUACGUGCCAGCAGCCGCGGUAAUACGUAGGGGGCGAGCGUUAUCCGGAUUCAUUGGGCGUAAAGCGCGCGUAGGCGGCCCGGCAGGCCGGGGGUCCGAAGCGGGGGGGCUCAACCCCCCCGAAGCCCCCGAAACCUCCGCGGCUUGGGUCCGGUAGGGGAGGGUGGAACACCCGGUGUAGCGGUGGAAUGCGCAGAUAUCGGGUGGAACACCGGUGGCGAAGGCGGCCCUCUGGGCCGAGACCGACGCUGAGGCGCGAAAGCUGGGGGAGCGAACAGGAUUAGAUACCCUGGUAGUCCCAGCCGUAAACGAUGGAUACUAGGUGUCGGGUGGCAGAGCCAUUCGGUGCCGUCGCAAACGCAGUAAGUAUUCCACCUGGGGAGUACGUUCGCAAGAAUGAAACUCAAAGGAAUUGACGGGGACCCGCACAAGCGGUGGAGCAUGUGGUUUAAUUCGAAGCAACGCGAAGAACCUUACCAAGUCUUGACAUCCGCCUGACUGAUCCUUAACCGGAUCUUUCCUUCGGGACAGGCGAGACAGGUGGUGCAUGGUUGUCGUCAGCUCGUGUCGUGAGAUGUUGGGCUAAGUCCCGCAACGAGCGCAACCCUUAUGGUCAGUUACUACGCAAGAGGACUCUGGCCAGACUGCCGUUGACAAAACGGAGGAAGGUGGGGAUGACGUCAAAUCAUCAUGCCCUUUAUGACUUGGGCUACACACGUACUACAAUGGCGUUAAACAAAGAGAAGCAAGACCGCGAGGAGGAGCAAAACUCAGAAACAACGUCCCAGUUCGGACUGCAGGCUGCAACUCGCCUGCACGAAGUCGGAAUUGCAAGUAAUCGUGGAUCAGCAUGCCACGGUGAA
rnacentral:rRNA from 1 species